GGGGGAGGGGAGGAGAGGGGGUCGGGCUGGGUCGCCCCGCCGGCGGCCGCUGCAGAUCAAAACCGCGGGCUGGGUGGCGUCGCCGCUCCCCGCUCCCCGCUCCUCGACUCCGGCUCGCUCGGCCUCCCUACCUCCCUCUGCCCCCACCCCCCUCGCGCUCGCCUGCCCUCCCCCCACCCCCCCAGCUCUCGCUCGCUCUCGCCGCGGCUCCGCCAGCCCAGUGCAAAUCAAAAUACUGCCACACAAUAUGGCGGCGCGGCGCCGGCAAACACCGCGAGAUCUGCGGCCGCUGCUGAGGCGGCGGCUGUGACGAGGCCUCCCCCAGCCGGCCGGCGGCGGCGGCGGCGGCGCGGGGAUGCUCUUUCCCCGCCCUGCACCCCUCCCCCGACGCUCGCAGACUCCACGCCCGCCUCGCGAAGGCCGGAGCGGGAGGCUGCUCGGCGACGCGGCCGGGCGCGGGCCGCCGCCGCCGCCGCCGGGGCAGUGCGAGAGGGGCCGCGGUCGCAGGGAGGCGGGGAGAGCCCGCGAGCCUACAUGUUUAAAUGCCGACCUCCCGUACUUUGCAGAGCGGCGCGUGUGCGUGUGCGUGUGCGUGUGCGUGUUCGUGCGUCCGCGCGUGCGGAGAAAGUGCAAGUCCUCCGCCCCGCCGCGGCCGAGAGGCGAGAACUGCCGCUCCGCCUGCGCGGCCCGUCCGGAAGCGGGCAGCGGGACCGGCCCGGGGUCGGCGGCGCCCGCGCGGGGGCGGGGGGGGGGGGAAGCCGGGGGCAGCAGGUGGGCCCGCGGCGGAGGCGGCGGAGGCGGCGGAGGGCCCGCGACACACCCCCUCGGAGGCCGCCGGCUGACGGCGUGACCCGGCCGCGGCCCGCAGCGCCCGCAGCGCGUGCGGCGGGAGCCCCGGCAGCCCCGGCAGCCCCGGCAGCCCCGGCAGCCCCGGCGCUCCCACCUUGCAGACCUGAGAAGCCUCGGACUCCUGAGGUUGGGGUUAGAACGCUCGGAAGAAAACUCUAG
rnacentral:lncRNA from 1 species